rnacentral:rRNA from 1 species
UACAGAGGGUGCAAGCGUUAAUCGGAAUUACUGGGCGUAAAGCGUGCGUAGGUGGCAUGUCAAGUCAGGCGUGAAAGCCCCGGGCUCAACCUGGGAACUGCGUUUGAAACUGGCAAGCUAGAGUAUGGUAGAGGGAAGUGGAAUUUCCGGUGUAGCGGUGAAAUGCGUAGAUAUCGGAAGGAACAUCAGUGGCGAAGGCGACUUCCUGGACUGAUACUGACACUGAGGCACGAAAGCGUGGGGAGCAAACGGG